UUUGCCAGUUAAUUUGAUAGUUGCCCCUUAACAACUAAAUAGCGAACCUCUGAGCAGAUGGCCUUAAUAUCUAUCUACUGAAGCUUGGCUUCGACGACCUUAUCAUCGAAUUAGCGUGGCAGUUUAGCUCGGAAGACAGGCAGAGCAAGAGGUAGCACAUCCUCUCCGAAGGGAAGAUAUGAGCGACCAGAGCUCGUACCCUAACCCUGCUCAAGGGUACUACCAGGGUCCCCCAGCCUCGGCGGCGGCCGGCCAAGAUAACACGGCGGCCGGCGGUGGCAAGUCCAACGCAGCCAAGAAAGACCAACCGAGCUUCAUGGAUAACCUCCUUGCUUGCCUCCCCUGUGCCCGCCCAGCCGAAGCCAAGAACGACGCGAGCUAACUAACCUUGCUCCAUCAGGCAGCCUAGCACGGGAAGGAAGGCUGCAAAGCUACUGCAUGAUUAUGCCCAGUGUUUGUUUGAUUAUUCAGCAUCUAAGUAAGCACGUCGUUAAUUAGUUCAAUCCGGAUUGCUCAUUUGCGUUUUGUGUACUAGUGAACGAUUUAUGUAUUUGUCGGGGGCGCAUGUAAUUUAAUUUAUUCCCCUUUGGAUUCAUUAUUCAGUUUAUCUUGUCAUGAUUUUGUGAGGAAAGAAUCUGUUUUACGCAUGGUUAAA